rnacentral:rRNA from 1 species
GACGAACGCUGGCGGCGUGCUUAACACAUGCAAGUCGAACGGAAAGGCCCUGCUUUUGUGGGGUGCUCGAGUGGCGAACGGGUGAGUAACACGUGAGUAACCUGCCCUUGACUUUGGGAUAACUUCAGGAAACUGGGGCUAAUACCGGAUAGGAGCUCCUGCUGCAUGGUGGGGGUUGGAAAGUUUCGGCGGUUGGGGAUGGACUCGCGGCUUAUCAGCUUGUUGGUGGGGUAGUGGCUUACCAAGGCUUUGACGGGUAGCCGGCCUGAGAGGGUGACCGGCCACAGUGGGACUGAGAUACGGCCCAGACUCCUACGGGAGGCAGCAGUGGGGAAUAUUGCACAAUGGGCGGAAGCCUGAUGCAGCAACGCCGCGUGCGGGAUGACGGCCUUCGGGUUGUAAACCGCUUUCGCCUGUGACGAAGCGUGAGUGACGGAAAUGGGUAAAGAAGCACCGGCUAACUACGU